rnacentral:rRNA from 1 species
GAUGAACGCUGGCGGCGUGCUUAACACAUGCAAGUCGAACGGAAAGGCUCCUGCUUGCCGGGGUACUCGAGUGGCGAACGGGUGAGUAACCCGUGGGUGAUCUGCCCUGCACUUCGGGAUAAGCCUGGGAAACUGGGUCUAAUACCGGAUAGGACCACAUUUUGGAUGGUGUGGUGGAAAGUUUUUCGGUGUGGGAUGAGCUCGCGGCCUAUCAGCUUGUUGGUGGGGUAAUGGCCUACCAAGGCGUCGACGGGUAGCCGGCCUGAGAGGGUGUACGGCCACAAUGGGACUGAGAUACGGCGCAGACUCGUACGGGAGGCAGCAGUGGGGAAUAUGGCACAAUGGGCGCAAGCCUGAUGCAGCGACGCCGCGUGGGGGAUGACGGCCUUCGGGUUGUAAACUCCUGUCGCUAGGGACGAAGCGCAAGUGACGGUACCUGGAGAAGAAGCACCGGCUAACUACGUG